AGCGAACGCUGGCGGCAGGCCUAACACAUGCAAGUCGAACGAACCUUUCGGGGUUAGUGGCGGACGGGUGAGUAACACGUGGGAACGUGCCUUUAGGUUCGGAAUAACUCAGGGAAACUUGUGCUAAUACCGAAUGUGCCCUUCGGGGGAAAGAUUAAUCGCCUUUAGAGCGGCCCGCGUCUGAUUAGCUAGUUGGUUGAGGUAAUGGCUCACCAAGGCGACGAUCAGUAGCUGGUCUGAGAGGAUGAUCAGCCACAUUGGGACUGAGCCACGGCCCAAACUCCUACGGGAGGCAGCAGUGGGGAAUCUUGCGCAAUGGGCGAAAGCCUGACGCAGCCAUGCCGCGUGAAUGAUGAAGGUCUUAGGAUUGUAAAAUUCUUUCACCGGGGACGAUAAUGACGGUACCCGGAGAAGAAGCCCCGGCUAACUUCGUG
rnacentral:rRNA from 1 species